CCUAAUGGAAAGUACCCUUUCAGGGCUGUCACGGAAUUUUCCACGAUCGCCAUUUUCUUUGGCAUUAAAAUGUGUGUAAGAGUACCAAAUUUCGGGAAAAACGGUUUAUCAACGUUCUUAAAAAUAAACUAAAUAUAUUAUUUUUAUUUAACCUUUCGAGGGCUGAAAAUUCUUCGGGAAGUAUUUUAGGGCAUAUGUUCAAAAGAACUUAUUGUUUAAUUUUUAUCUGUAGGAUAACCCACCAAAGUUAGAUUCACUAUUUUUUGACACCCUGUAUAUUUUUUUAAAUCGUUAUAUUGUCAAAGAGGUUAUGAUUUUAAUGCCAAUAUUCAAAAUGUUCCGAUCAAAUGUGAGAAAAAUUAUAUAACAAAGCAAAAUUAAUUUUUUAUUUAAAAAAAAGUUGCGUUGGUAGUGUACACGUAAAAACGAAAAAAAUGCAAAUUUUAAAAUUGUUAUUAUUAAUACAAAAACGUUUUUGGUAGGGCCUAAGUUAUCUCAAAAAGAAUUUGUGCGGAUCUGAUGCCUAGAGUCAGAGAUAUAGUAAAACAAAAUUCUACCAGCCACCGUUGAUUGUGAAGGUUUUGUGAUCCAGAUGUGUUGUGUUGUUUCUUUUUGUUAGCUUUUUUUGUGAUGUGAAGUGAUUGUGAAUUAUCUACCAUGAAGGACAAAACUAAAAAAGUACACUUUAUAAUUUGGAUUUUUUUUUCUGUUUCAGGAAAGAACAAACGUGGAAAAUCUUCAUAACCGAAUGCCAAGAGACACAUAUCAUUUGACCAUUGUGUACUGCAAAUGAGAUAGCUUGGGAUAGGUACUGAGAGACAAAGUUUAAGGGUUAUAAGUUAUUGACUAAAAGCAAAGGAAACAACAUCAAGGCGACUUGUAGCUGGCCUAUUAUUAAAAAUUGAACUGUUCGAGGAAGUCAAAAAUUGAAAUACCACACGCAAAUCAUGAUAGACUCGUGAUAAAAGCAGAAACAAGGAAAGCUAACUAUGUAGAGGUAAUGGAGGCAUUUGAAAAAUUUUAAGAGAAAUCUUUGACAGGUGAUGUUGAUAAGUUACCUUCCAAGAAUAAGAUAUUAAAGGACAUAAAGAACAAUAGAGAACCUACAAUCGAUGGUAAUGUGAAAAAGGAGGAAGAAAUUCAAACUUUCACAAACUUUUCAAGAUUUCCAAGUUCUAAAAAUUACGCAAUUAAUGGAAAGAAGAAAAUGGAUCAUCGAGCACAAAAAAAUGGAUAAGCAAGAAUUUGUGCCAAACAAGCGAAAGAUAUUGAGUACUGGUAUAGAGUUUCAUUUAUUUUAUAUAUCUGUUGUAUAAGUUGGUUUUGAUGUUAUUUAAGUAAAUAUAAUGUAUAUAAGUUAUUGGUGAAGGGUUAUAAAUUUAUUUUGUACCACUGUAUAUAAAUCGGUAUUAUUUUUAUAAGUUAUGUAAAUUAUUGUAUUAUAUUGUUGUAAUUAUUGUUCUAUGUAUAUUGAUGUAAUUGAAACUUUCAAAAGAGUGAAACUCCCAUAAGUUUCUUGCAGUUUCUUCUUAUGGGCAGUAAUCGAAACUGCGGAUUUUU